UACGGGGGGGGCAAGCGUUGUUCGGAAUUACUGGGCGUAAAGGGCGCGUAGGCGGUGCGGUAAGUCACCUGUGAAGUCUCCUGGCUCAACUGGGAGCUUGCAGGCGAAACUGCCGUGCUGGAGUGUGGGAGAGGUGCGUGGAAUUCCCGGUGUAGCGGUGAAAUGCGUAGAGAUCGGAAAGAACACCAACGGCGAAAGCACUCUGCUGGGCCGACACUGACACUGUGAGACGAAAGCUAGGGGAGCGAAUGGG
rnacentral:rRNA from 1 species